AUUACUUCGACCACUCAUCGGAUACAAAACACUGAUUUAAUCCUUCUCGUAUAACCUAUGUCGUUAAACCUAAACUUAGUUAUGCAGCAUGACGACUUCGCAAUCGGGGACACAAUUACCAUGUUGCAGGUAGCCCCGUAUUCCUACAAGCGUCAAAUAAAUACGUGCCUGAGCUACAAGCGGAACACUCGUCGCGACAUACAUACCUAUCAAUUCAUUUAUCAAACUAGUCAAUAAAAAUAGCAAAGCAGCUCACCGUUUCAAUAUCUGACUCGAAUCCGCGAGAUCGGUAAUGAUUUUCCGGUCCAGGCAAUUUGUCGAGCGCUUAGCAGGUACUAUACGAGCUUCACGCACACCACCGCAUGACGAACUCUCAACACUGAUCGGACUUCACCCGAGUAAUUUGCGAAAUUAACUUCAACUCACAGCCGGUGUCGCGCGAAGGAGAAACGGGCCCAAGGGAAGCGAGCACGAAGGCGCUUGCACAUCGACGCGAAGAGAGAAAACCAGAGCACGAAGGGACGCUGGAAUCCGGGCUGGGCGCAACGACAACCAAACAGUGAAGCACGCGCGCGCAGCUAGGGAGCUUCAUGACAGGUCGCAGCUAGAACGACUGGCAAGGCGAAGCUCAUCGACGAGGUCGAGCAGAGGAUGGCGUGUGCGAGCGCACGCCGGAACUUGCCAAAAACACGAACACGAUGGCGUGCUGCGCACAUGACGCAAAAAAACGACCGCAAUUCCACGGCAGUUUCACGAACGCGGCAAGGACGUAGAACGCAGCAAUAGGGGCUAGACUCGGUGAUGGAACUCGACAGUAGCGAUCUAGGCGAGCGUAGCAGGGAGCCGGGACGAGACAGAGGCCAAGCGAGCUCUGGUCGGCAUGGACGCGACGGCCAGAGAUCUACGCGCAGGGGCGAAGCGACCGGCGCGCAGAACAGCGAGCAGAGAAGCAGUCACUGAGCUGGGGCGAACUGCGGCGCGUAGGAGCUGGGCGCACAGCAGAGACCGAGCGCCAUGGGGAGCAAGCAGCGAGCGCGGAUGUGAGAGAGAUCCGUGUAGGGGAAAUUCUAGGCACCACGAGAGAGAGCAGAGCUCCGACCGGGCGUGCGCAGGAAAGAGGACGAGGGCGCUGGGGCUAGGCGCGGUCCGAGCAGAGAGGGAGAUGAGCGCCGAGUUGAAGGAGGAAGCCGCUGCGCUAGGAGCUCCGAGCUGGGACUGGGAAGCAAGGGCGCGGCCAGGCGAGUACCAAAGCCGAGACAGGGAGCUCCGGCCAUGGGAAGUUAGGGACCGCGGGAGAGAGAAACAGGAGCUCGGCUGGGGUUUUGGCGAGGCCAUGGCGAGCAAGAAGCAUAGCACGCGGCAUGGGAGCUUGAGAGGAGAGAGCUGGGCGCAGCGCUCGGCGCUGGCCAGCAGGGAGGAGCAGAGGGCGCGCGGUGAUGAGAGAUUAGGGGAAGGAGGUCGAGCUGGAGCUGAGCGUGCGCCAUGGGAGCCGCGCGGUCGGCCAUGGAGAUGGGCAGAGGGAGCGCGCAGGAACUCCAUGGCUCAGGAGCAAGAAGAAAAAAUCAGGG
rnacentral:misc_RNA from 1 species